AUUGAACGCUGGCGGCAGGCCUAACACAUGCAAGUCGAGCGGAUGCAGCGAGCUUGCUCCUGGAUUCAGCGGCGGACGGGUGAGACAUGCCUUGGAAUCUGCCUGGUAGUGGGGGAUAACGUCCGGAUACGGGCGCUAAUCCCGCAUCCGUCCUGUGGUCGCAAGUGGGGGAUCUUCCGAUCUCACGCUUUCAUAUGAGCCUAGGUCGGAUGAGCUAGUUGGUGGGGUAACGGCCUUCCAAGGCGACGAUCCGUAACUGGUCUGAGAGGAAGAUCAGUCACACGGGAACUGAGACACGGCACAGACUCCUACAGGAGGCAGCAGUGGAGAAUAUUAGACGAGGGGGGAGAGGCGGAUCCAGCCAUGCGGCGUGUAGGAAGAAGGAGUUCGGAUGGGUGAGUACUGUAGGUUGGAAGGAAGGACAGUAAGUUAAUACCGGGCUGUAUUGACGGUACCAACAGAAUAAGCACCGGCUAACUUCGUG
rnacentral:rRNA from 1 species